rnacentral:rRNA from 1 species
CGCGGGAUUGCAGCAGGCGCGAAACCUUUACAAUGCACGCAAGUGUGAUAAGGGGAUCCCCCGUGCUCAUGCACAGCAUGGGCUUUUGCAUAGUGUAAAUAGCUACGCGAAUAAGUGGUGGGUAAGACUGGUGCCAGCCGCCGCGGUAACACCAGCGCCACGAGUGGUAACCACGUUUAUUGGGCCUAAAGCGUCCGUAGCCGGUUUGGUAAAUCCUUUGUGAAAUUGUGCAGCUCAACUGUACAACGUGCAAGGGAGACUGCCAGACUCGAGACCGGGAGGAGUCAGAAGUAUUCCAGGGGGAGCGGUAAAAUGUUAUAAUCCCUGGAGGACUACCUGUGGCGAAGGCGUCUGACCAGAACGGAUCUGACGGUGAGGGACGAAAGCCAGGGGAGCGAACCGGAUUAGAUACCCGAGUAGUCCUGGCCGUAAACGCUGCCAGCUAGGUGUUGCAUCAGUCACGAGCUGGUGCAGUGUCGAAAGGAAGCUGUUAAGCUGGCCGCCUGGGAAGUACGGUCGCAAGACUGAAACUUUAAGGAAUUGGCGGGGGCGCACCACAAGGGGUGCGGCGUGCGGUUUAAUCUAACUCAACGCAGAGAACCUUACUAGGGGCGACGGCAGGAUGAAGGCCAACUUGAAGAGUUUACCUGACAAGCCGAGAGGUGGUGCAUGGCCGCCGUCAGCUCGUGCUGUGAAGUGUCCAGCUAAGCCUGGCAACGAGCGAGACCUGUAUCUUCAAUUGCUAGCAGCUGCUUGCAGGACUGAGCACUUUGAAGAGACUGCCUUGGAAACGAGGAGGAAGGUGCAGGCUACGGUAGAUCUGUAUGCCCCGAAUCCCCUAGGCUACACGCGCGCAACAAUGGUUGGGACAAUGGGAUGCCACUCCGAAAGGAGAAGCUAAACCUCUAAACCCAAUCCAAGUCCAGAUUGAGGCUUGCAACUCAGCCUCAUGACGACGGAAUCCCUAGUAAUCAGAAGUCAUCAUCUUCUGGUGAAUAUGUCCCUGCUCCUUGCACGAGUUCACCGAAUCACUAGU